rnacentral:rRNA from 1 species
CAAGUCGAACGGAAGUCGUUAUAAUGAUUUGGAUUUAGAUUUGAAGAUUUAUCUGAUAUGAAGAUGAAGAAGAUCUAAAACAAUGGCUUUAGUGGCGGACUGGUGAGUAACACGUAAGCAACCUGCCUGUUAGAGGGGAAUAACAGCGAGAAAUCGUUGCUAAUACCGCAUAUGCCAUAAGAACCACAUGGUUCUAGUGGGAAAGGAGUAAUCCGCUAACAGAUGGGCUUGCGUCUGAUUAGAUAGUUGGUGGGGUAACGGCCUACCAAGUCGACGAUCAGUAGCCGGACUGAGAGGUUCAACGGCCACAUUGGGACUGAGAUACGGCCCAGACUCCUACGGGAGGCAGCAGUCGGGAAUAUUGCGCAAUGGAGGAAACUCUGACGCAGUGACGCCGCGUAUAGGAAGAAGGUUUUCGGAUUGUAAACUAUUGUCUGCAGGGAAGAAACAAGACUGUACCUGCAAAGAAAGCUCCGGCUAACUACGUG